GACAGAAUUUGCAAUGUCUCAUGGCUGUACGAAGAGGACAUCUGUCUAAUGAUUUGUGUUUGAGUCAAACUGUGUCAUUUAACGUAUGUGCCCAUAUGAGACAUGCUGUACCCUGGAAUAAGGCUAUUUUAAAGUG